rnacentral:rRNA from 1 species
CAGUAGCCGCGGGAAUACAGAGGGUGCGAGCGUUAAUCGGAUUUACUGGGCGUAAAGCGUGCGUAGGCGGCUUCUUAAGUCGGAUGUGAAAUCCCUGAGCUUAACUUAGGAAUUGCAUUCGAUACUGGGAAGCUAGAGUAUGGGAGAGGAUGGUAGAAUUCCAGGUGUAGCGGUGAAAUGCGUAGAGAUCUGGAGGAAUACCGAUGGCGAAGGCAGCCAUCUGGCCUAAUACUGACGCUGAGGUACGAAAGCAUGGGGAGCAAACAGGAUUAGAUACCCCUGUAGUCCCUGUCUCUUAUAC